rnacentral:ncRNA from 2 species
AAGGCUUGACAGGAUAGAGGCGCUGUAGUAUAAAGAAGAUAACAAUUCGGAUUAUAUAGGAAAGGGAAGGCUGUGCGAAUCAGCCGCGGUCCCGCCGCUGUAAGGGAUGACGAAACCUGCGAAAGACCACUGGCCUAAAAGAGGCCGGGAAGGCGCAGGCGGUAGAGUGAAUCCUAAGUCAGAAGACCUGCCUAUGUAGGAGUUUGUAG